UACGUAGGGUGCAAGCGUUAAUCGGAAUUACUGGGCGUAAAGCGCACGUAGGCGGAUAUUUAAGUCAGGGGUGAAAUCCCGGGGCUCAACCCCGGAACUGCCUUUGAUACUGGGUAUCUGGAGGUCGAGAGAGGCGAGUGGAAUUCCGAGUGUAGAGGUGAAAUUCGUAGAUAUUGGGAAGAACACCGGUGGCGAAGGCGGCUCACUGGCCCGAUACUGACGCUGAGGCACGAAAGCGUGGGGAGCAAACAGG
rnacentral:rRNA from 1 species